UACAGAGGUCCCAAGCGUUGUUCGGAGUCAUUGGGCGUAAAGGGUGCGUAGGCGGCGCGGUAAGUCGGGUGUGAAAUCUCGGGGCUUAACUCCGAAACUGCAUUCGAUACUGCCGUGCUUGAGGACUGGAGAGGAGACUGGAAUUUACGGUGUAGCGGUGAAAUGCGUAGAUAUCGUAAGGAAGACCAGUGGCGAAGGCGGGUCUCCGGACAGUACCUGACGCUGAGGCACGAAGGUCAGGGGAGCAAACGGG
rnacentral:rRNA from 1 species